GACAAACGCUGGCGGCGUGCCUAACACAUGCAAGUCGCACGUCCUUCGCUUUUCGGAGCGGAGGAAGUGGCGGACGGGUGAGUAACACGUGGAUACCUACCUUCAAGUGAGGAAUACCGGCGAGAAAUCGCCGACAAUACCGCAUACGCUUCUCUUGCAAAAGAGAAGCAAAGCCGCGAGGCGCUGGAAGAUGGGUCUGCGUCCGAUUAGCUAGCUGGUGGGGUAAAGGCUCACCAGGGCGACGAUCGGUCGCUGGUCUGAGAGGAUGAUCAGCCAC
rnacentral:rRNA from 1 species